rnacentral:rRNA from 1 species
GGGAUCGCCUGUCUCAAGAUAAGCCAUGCAUGUCUAAGUAUAAAGGUUACAUACAAUGAAACUGCGAAUGGCUCAUUCAAACAGUUAUAGUUUAUUUGGAUUUACACAUUAGUUAAAUGGAUAACCGUAGUAAUUCUAGGGCUAAUACAUGCGUUACGGGGGACUUCACGGAACCCCAGUAUUUAUUAGAUUCAAACCAAUAUUCCGAAGGUCUACUUGAGAUGAUUCAUGAUAACUGAUCGAAUUGCUGGUCUACCGGCAAUAAGUCAUUCAUGUUUCUGCUUCCCAUCAGCUUGAUGGUAGUGUAUUGGACAACCAUGGCAUUCACGGGCUAUCGGGGGAUUAGGGUUCGAUUCCGGAGAGGGAGCCUGAGAAACGGCUACCACUUCUACGGAAGGCAGCAGGCGCGAAAAUUAUCCAAUCCUGAUUCAGGGAGGUAGUGAAACAAAUAAUGAACUAGGAUUUAUCCUGGGGUCACAAUGGGCUUGAUUUGCAAACUUUAUUUAGCGAGGAACAAUUGGAGGGCAAGUCUGGUGCCAGCAGCCGCGGUAAUUCCAGCUCCAAUAGUGUAUAUUAAUGUUCCUGCAGUUAUUCGAUGCUCGUAGUUGGAUUUCUGGAGGCUGAGAUCGGAGGGUAGCCAAGGUUACCGCUGAACUCUUCCUUCAUCCACCUGUUAACGUUGUCCGGGAUUCGUUUCUCGGCUUCGGGCUCACGCAUAUACUUUUACCCUUUUUCAAUUUAUUGUUUUGAGUAAAUUAUAGUGUUUCAGCAGGCGUGCGCGGAAUACUUAGCAUGGAAUAAUCGAAUUGGACCGUC